UUAUCUGAAUGCAUAAUAAAGAAAGAAAUAUAGGACUUCUAAAAUCAAAACAUAGAAGGGAAUAAAUCAUGACACAGAAGUAUCUUUCCACUUCUGAAACCAAUCAUUAGAUUUUCUUUGUAGCGUGGUGUUGAGGAAGUCAAGGUUGAGCAACACUUGUCUUGCCAGGCCAUUUUUACAAUAAAUUAGAAUUUGACAUGAAGACAUAUUAACAAUACAAUGUAAUGUGUGGAUCAAUAUUCACAAGAAUGCCAGGGCAAAGGAAAAGUUUC
rnacentral:lncRNA from 1 species